AUUGAACGCUGGCGGCAGGCCUAACACAUGCAAGUCGAACGAGUGGCGGACGGGUGAGUAAUGUCUGGGAAACUGCCUGAUGGAGGGGGAUAACUACUGGAAACGGUAGCUAAUACCGCAUACCCUCAGAUGUGCCCAUAUGGGAUUAGCUUGUUGGUGGGGUAACGGCUCACCAGGGCGACGAUCCCUAGCUGGUCUGAGAGGAGGACCAGCCACACGGGAACGGAGACACGGUCAAGACUCCUAGGGGGGGCAGAAGUGGGGAAUAUUGGACAAGGGGCGAAAGCCGGAUGCAGCCAUCCCGCGUGUAUGAAGAAGGCCUUGGGUUUGUAAAGUACUUUCAGCGGGGAGGCGUUACCCGCAGAAGAAGCACCGGCUAACUCCGUGCCAGCAGCCGCGGUAAUUC
rnacentral:rRNA from 1 species